rnacentral:tRNA from 5 species
GCUGACGUAGCUCAGUUGGUAGAGCACAUCCUUGGUAAGGAUGAGGUCACCGGUUCAAUCCCGGUCGUCAGCUC